rnacentral:rRNA from 1 species
CCUACGGGAGGCAGCAGUGAGGAAUAUUGGUCAAUGGACGCGAGCCUGAACCAGCCAAGCAGCGUGAAGGAAGACGGCUCUAUGAGUUGUAAACUGCUUUUAUACGAGGGUAAACGCAGAUACGCGUAUCUUUCUGAAAGUAUCUUACGAAUAAGGAUCGGCUAACUCCGUGCCAGCAGCCGCGGUAAUACGGAGGAUUCAAGCGUUAUCCGGAUUUAUUGGGUUUAAAGGGUGCGUAGGUGGUGGGUUAAGUUAGAGGUGAAAUCCCGCGGCUCAACCUUAGACUUGCUUCUGAUACUGGUCGUCUAGAGAGUAGUUGAGGUAGGCGGAAUGUGUGGGGUAGCGGUGAAAUGCUUAGAGAUCAUGCAGAACACCGAUUGCGAAGGCAGCUUACCAAGCUACUUCUGACGUUGAGGCACGAAAGCGUGGGGAGCAAACAGGAUUAGAUACCCCUGUAGUC